UAAUUUUACCACAGAAGGAAGGCUACC
rnacentral:piRNA from 1 species